AUGUGGAGGCUACUGCAAUCGUGCUGUCGCUGCUGGUGGAUUUUCUCUCUCGUUUUGCCAGCCUUCGUGCUCCUCUGGGCCGAGUGUCAUCCUGCGCUGACAGGAAGCCAAGCCGAGUCCCAAGCCCCUAUCCAAGGCCUUCGUGGAGCCACGGCCGACGGGACACGACACAGGAGAGCAGCCACUGAGGAGACCUACUGGGCCUACUCAGCAUGGAAGGCUACCUUUGACCUUCAAGGUGUUGCCCUCCAAUCAUCACACAUGCAUGCUUGUACAUCUACGCGCCGCCCUCAGGGAGAGAAGUCCCCCAAGCUCCCAGGUUUCUGUGCCCUGCCUGGAGGAUGUGUACCUGAGCGAUGAAGCUGCAAAUCAUGAGUACUGAGGAUUCCUGCAAAAUCACUGCAGCUGUUCACAUAUAUUGCUUUGAUAUUACAGUUCCUUUGAUGUAAAACCCUUAAGGGCUUGGAUUGCAUUUUGCCUUUGAGAGCACUGAAAAAUCUCCAGCUCUACUUUGAAGCAGAGACAGUGGCCUGGAACAGCGUGAUCUCUGUCUCCAGGGCAAACACAAGAACAUGAAGAUGCCAAAUGCUACAGCAAAAUAAAAAUCUAUUUGGUGCAGAACCUUAACAGACUGUAAAUAAACAGACUUAUGAUUGCACUUGGUUGUUGAAAUACAUUCAAUUUGGCAAAACUGACCACACUGUAUGUCUUUUAUUCCCUCCAGUAAGCAGUGUUGAAAAGGUCGGAACCCAGACAAUGAUCGACCAAAAUUCACUUUUUAAAGGAAUUAGAAACUCCUUAGCUCUUUCAAGCAUCCUCUUUAGCAAAUGGUCUGAACGGCCAAUAUUCUACUUGAGGUAAAAGGUGUUAUCUCCUCAGCUUGAAAGGUUGCUUUCUUUGUGUGCACACUACACUUUUUGCACCUUUGAUUUCAGCAACGGGUCAAUUAUGUGUAUUAACUCUGGUGGUUUUUGCCAAGCCAUUAGGUGCCAGCAUUUGUCUUUUACAAGGCACACCAUAUGGAUUUUAUUGAUCGUGAGUGGUCUUAACAGAACAUUUUAAGACCCACAUAAACAUUUACUGUAACAAUGCACCCAUUUGGACAGGGGAGAAUUCAUAAUGCAGUGCUGUAAAUCUAAAUUAGUCUAAGUGUCUCUGUAGAUAUUUCUGCCUAUGCAGCUCAUCAUGAUGUUAUUUGUUCUGGAUGCAUUUCAGCGGCCGUGAUUACUCUUGAUAUGUUGUAACUUACUUCUAAUGUCUCAUAUGUUGUUUCUCACUGCAAGCAAAGGCUGGUGGUUACCAGGAAAUAGAUGUAAAGUAGCUUGGAAUACAACUUAGACAAGUAUAUUAUAAUUAUAACAUAAAUCAUAAUCAUGACAAUGCAUAUCAUGAAUAGGACUUUAUGGAUAAUUGUGAUGAUACAGCCGUGUUUCACUAAUAAUAUUUGUUAUUUAGUAAGUUAUUUUUAUGACUUAGUUUCUCCUAAUUAAAACUUUUUGUCAUUAUUGCUGAAAUUUUUACUGUGUUUGGACAGUAUUAUUAAUACUUAAAAAGCUAGUUAC
rnacentral:lncRNA from 1 species